GACGAAGGAUGCAAGCGUUAUCCGGAUUCAUUGGGUUUAAAGGGAGCGUAGGCGGAUUGGUAAGUCAGUGGUGAAAUCCUAUCGCUUAACGAUAGAACUGCCAUUGAUACUGCUGAUCUAGAGUACAGUUGCCGUUGGCGGAAUAUGACAUGUAGUGGUGAAAUACUUAGAUAUGUCAUAGAACACCGAUUGCGAAGGCAGCUAACGAAGCUGUAACUGACGCUGAGGCUCGAAAGUGCGGGGAUCAAACAGG
rnacentral:rRNA from 1 species